GUUUUAAUACAGGUAGAGGUCAGUUCUGAGCCGCAGCUGAAACGCUGGACAUCGCUUUGCUUUAAAACACACUGGUGGCGUGGAUGGAGCCUCAGACCCUUCCUGUCCAGGGGCCUCAUUGGUGGUGGUUGAGUCUGGAUCUGCAGACUCUCCAGUGGAGAAAUACUUCAGUCCGUCGAUGCUGCAGGACCCCUGGGCAGCUCUGCAGCCCGCCACAGGCCGCCAGACCAGCAGCCUGACGGGGAACGGCAGAUAGCAGCAGCAGCA